AUUGAACGCUGGUGGCAGGCCUAACACAUGCAAGUCGGACGGUAGCACAGAGGAGCUUGCUCCUCGGGUGACGAGUGGCGGACGGGUGAGUAAUGUCUGGGGAUCUGCCCGAUAGAGGGGGAUAACCACUGGAAACGGUGGCUAAUACCGCAUAACGUCGCAAGACCAAAGAGGGGGACCUUCGGGCCUCUCACGAUCGGAUGAACCCAGAUGGGAUUAGCUAGUAGGCGGGGUAACGGCCCACCUAGGCGACGAUCCCUAGCUGGUCUGAGAGGAUGACCAGCCACACUGGAACUGAGACACGGUCCAGACUCCUACGGGAGGCAGCAGUGGGGAAUAUUGCACAAUGGGCGCAAGCCUGAUGCAGCCAUGCCGCGUGUAUGAAGAAGGCCUUCGGGUUGUAAAGUACUUUCAGCGGGGAGGAAGGCGAUAAGGUUAAUAACCUUGUCGAUUGACGUUACCCGCAGAAGCAGCACCGGCUAACUCCGUGCCAGCCGCCGCGGUAA
rnacentral:rRNA from 1 species